rnacentral:rRNA from 1 species
UACGGGGGGUGCGAGCGUUGUCCGGAAUCACUGGGCGUAAAGGGCGCGUAGGUGGUUUGAUAAGGGUGUGGUGAAAGCCCGGGGCUCAACCCCGGGUCUGCCGUGCCGACUGUCAAACUCGAGGGCUGUAGAGGCAGACGGAAUUCCGGGUGUAGCGGUGGAAUGCGCAGAUAUCAGGAGGAACACCGGUGGCGAAGGCGGGACUCUGGGCCGAUACUGACGCUGAGGAGCGAAAGCGUGGGGAGCGAACAGG